CAAUAGCGUAUAUUGAAAUUGUUGCGGUUAAAAGCUCGUAGUUGGAUUUCUGCCGAGGACGACCGGUCCGCCCUCUGGGUGAGUAUCUGGCUUGGCCUGGGCAUCUUCUUGGAGAACGUAGCUGCACUUGACUGUGUGGUGCGGUAGCCAGGACCUUUACUUUGAGGAAAUUAGAGUGUUUCAAGCAGGCAUGCGCCUUGAAUACAUUAGCAUGGAAUAAUAAGAUAGGACCUCGGUUCUAUUUUGUUGGUUUCUAGAGCUGAGGUGAUGAUUAAUAGGGAUAGUUGGGGGCAUUCGUAUUUAACUGUCAGAUGUGAAAUUCUUGGAUUUGUUAAAGACGGACUACUGCGAAAGCAUUUGCCAAGGAUGUUUUCAUUGAUCAAGAACGAAAGUUAGGGGAUCGAAGAUGAUUAGAUACCGU
rnacentral:rRNA from 1 species